rnacentral:rRNA from 1 species
AACGAACGCUGGCGGUCAUGCCUAACACAUGCAAGUCGAACGAUUAUGGAACUAGCUUGCUAGUGCCCAGAUAGUGGCAGACGGGUGAGUAACGCGUGGGAAUCUACCUAGUAGUACGGAAUUAGCCGUUUGGAAACGACGAAUAAUACCGUAUAUUCCCUGAGGGGGAAAGAUUUAUCGCUACUAGAUGAGCCCGCGUUAGAUUAGCUAGUUGGUAGGGUAAUGGCCUACCAAGGCAAUGAUCUAUAGCUGGUCUGAGAGGACGAUCAGCCACACUGGAACUGAGAUACGGUCCAGACUCCUACGGGAGGCAGCAGUGGGGAAUAUUGGACAAUGGGCGAAAGCCUGAUCCAGCAAUGCCGCGUGAGUGAAGAAGGCCUUAGGGUUG